UCUUCAUGAUGAGCACUUCAUUCAGUUCUGCUUCCGAAAGAGCCUAGCUCUUGUGGAUACCCAUACCUUACCAAACUUUUCUGACCU
rnacentral:snoRNA from 1 species